CUUUUUCUCGAUGAGCCGGUGCGGCAGUUUGUAGGUCUCCUGCAAGGCGCACGGGAAGGCGGUGGGCACCAGAGGAAGCGGUCCAAGCCAUUUCAUAGAAGCAUCAAGCCCACACCUUGCAUAGCCCAGCCAAGCUCAAAGGAGAGGGGCCAGGUAGGGUCGUGACUUCGCGUGCGCAUAGGCUGCAGGAGCCCUGGUAAAAGCCCCCCGGAUGCGGCCAGAGCUGCUCCGAGUCGAGAGCCGCGCAGAACGCAGGGCUGGAGCCGAGGCUUGAAGGGGCCGGGGAGUGCCAACUUACCCAGGCACGUCUGGCCGCUGCCAGGGAGGGAAGGAGCGACCUGCCCGCCCUCCCCCGGCUUCAUCACAUGAGUCUCACGUGUUGGACAACGCUCCCGCGACUGCGAGGGAGCCCCCACCCCCAGCCCUGGCCCCCAGGUGUCUGCGGCUGCGGCUGCCUUUCCCCGAAGAGGGGGUGGCAGCACGGCCUGGGUCCUGCCCAACCGGGUGGGGGGCGCGGAAGCUGGAAGGGGCCGGGGAGCCGCUGGGGCCGGGUGGGGGGGGGGUUGGUAACGUGGGCGAACCUGCCCCAGGGAAAUGAAGUAAGUUCCCGUCUCCUGGGAGGGAACGGGGGAGGACGGAUCCGCCCGCGUCUGACUCAAGCCGGGAGAGGAAUAUCCCCUCGCUCGCUCCAGCCCAACCCUCUUCCUCCUCCCCCGCCCGGCCGGCUCCGAGGAACCGGCGCGCAGCGGAGGGAGUCGCCCGGCCCCCCUGCCGUCCCCAGAGGCUGGUGUUUCUUUCCGUCCCGGCUUCCCCGCCCCCAGCCCUCAGCCGGGCGUCCAGGAAUUGCCCGCCGUGGGGAGGGGCCGAGGGGCGGGGCGGAUGUCACCCCAUGGGAAGCGGGCUGGCAGCCAAGCGCAGGGGCAGCCGAGGCCGCUGCCGAGCACGCUGCGCGCACCUGACCGCGGAGCGUGUGCGCCACGGCCCCCUCGCUCCCCGGGAGCUCCGCUCCUGGGUACAGCCUGCGGGCCGGCGGGCACCCUCUUGCGCACCCCCCGGGUGUCCCAGUGCCCACUUCCACCCCACUUCGGCUAGUCCGGCACAGAAAGAUACCGGGCGCGGUGCCCUGCGUUCCCUCCCUCCCCUGCCCCCUCCGGAGCAGAGGCUCCCGGGUCGCCUUCCCCUCCGGCUGCAACGUUACACAACUGCGGUGGCGACGCCUGCCCUGCAGCAGCACGGGGCGUGACGCUUCACGUGGCCAGAGCCCGGGCCACAGGGCCGCCGCCUGCGAGUCCCUCUGCGUCGCCCGUGGGACCCAGACCCCGGGGACGCGGUGUGCCCGCCGGGGUGGGCCAUCUCCCUGCCUGCCAGGAACUUGGGCGGCGCUGUUGGCGGUCUGCACCCGGAGCGGGAGGAAAGAGAGAGACUAGAAAAAACUGUGUGUCCAUCACAUUGAAAUCUUAGCAUUCAUUCAGUCGAUACACAUUUGUUGAGGCCCCUCCUGUGUGCCGGGCGUUGUGACCGUUGCUAGAGAUACUGUGGGGAAUCAGACAGAUUCUGCCCUUGAAUUUACAGGAACCUCUGGAAAAAGGAUAAAUUGGGCAAUGAGGGGAAGGCAGCCCUGGGAAAAUUAUAUAGGUGCCACUGGCUGCCAGAAAAAAGAUAAGUUUGUUUUGUUUUGUUUCAAAAUUUAUUUAAUACGGACCAAGAUGCAUGGGAAGAGAAGGAGGAAGCUAACCCACUGCCCUGAGCUUGGGGCAGAAAGGCCUCCCCCAAGCAGCCCCAGAUCUCCGUAAAGCGCGCUGGUGGGCGGGGGGAGCGGAGGGGGACCUACGUCCCCCGGCAAAGUCCGGGCUCUGUGACCUUCUAACUCAGCCUGGAGCAGGGAAAACAGCUGAAACUCCAAGCCCGCGGUAUGAGCCGCGCUGAUGCAGUCAGAGGAGGGAGCCAGUGGAAAUUCAUGACUAAAAUAAGGCCUGGCUGGGGAUUUCACUGACCUCUGCGCUGCCCUGCCCUGCAAGUUCGGGGAGUUGAGAGAUGACUGUAAGCCGUGGCCUGGCGGUGGGAAGGAUUGGAAAAAACAAAAAACGGGGUCGCUGCGGGGACUGGGUGAAGCUUCUCGGGCGCAGUUUGGGGGUGUCAGUCUUAAUUGGCAGUGUCCUUGACAACCUAGAGAACUGGGAUUCACACUUUGACCAAACUGGGAGUGGAUUUCCUUCAGGUCGCUUUGGAGAGCUCCCACUUCCUGUUUAUGUUUCACAAGCGUCGAACUCAUUAGCAAGUGUGAGAAAUGCCUCCUUUUCUAACUAACUGGCGUGACCUCUCUUGGGGGCUUAGGGAUCCUUCCCUCCCAGAAUGUACUUUUGCUGGUUUCUGUUGUCAGCCAUCUCUAGGGAGGGAAUGAUUGCGCCGCAGCUUCCUGCCGGGAGGUGGGCAGCAGAACCACAGAGGAAGGAGGGGACCGGCCUGCCCGGGUUUGUGCUUUCAAUCUAGGGCGACCUGCUUCAUUGUGCGACUUUAGUAAGGGUGAAGGAUUGUCAUGACUGCACCAAAACCACAGUUCCACCAGGAAAGAAGCGCUGGGGGAGGAAGGAACACCUGUCCCUGAACCAUCAUACAUCUCGCUCCCCCCAUGCCAGACAUGAACCCAAACAUUUCAGUUUCCAUGGCACAGUGUCGUUCUUAGAAUGUUUUGAUGUUAUCAAUACUUUUUGUCCUUACCUGUUCUACAGUUGGAAAUAACAAAAUAUAUGCAUUUCCUACUUUUUGUUCCAAAUGCAUUCUUAAGCUUCAAGAAAUAUCUCCAAGUAGAAAAAGAAAGAAUCUCCACCCUACAAAAGUUCUAUCCUAUCCAGAUUUUAUAUAUUUUAUACCGUUUCCAGAUUUUAUAUAUUUUAAACCAUUUAGUCUGUUUUUCUUUUCUCAAUAGCUUGUGAUUAUUUUUUCAUCAAUUUAAACAAAAUAAUUCCUUCCCAGCCUGCAUCUUUCCACCCUGAAGAAUCUUAAAAUUUCACUGUCAUCUUUUGUAGAUACUUGUUUAAUGUUGUUUUAUUUUUUAGACUGCAAAAACUUUGUCUAUGUUAAUUCAUUUAGUCCUCCCCCCCACCCUAUAAGGCAGGUAUUAGCUUAUUUUUACAUUCAUUUAACACAUAUUUAUUGAGAACCACUAUGUGCCAGGCACUGAAGUAGAUCCUAGGAAUAUAUGUGUCCUCUUAAGGAAACUGAGGCUCAGGGAGGUUAAAUAACCUGCCCCAGGUUAUAUAGCCUGAGAUUAGAUCUGGAACGAGACCCUAGGUUUGUUUGGCUCCGAAGCUUGUACUCUUAAUCAUUCUACUCUCGACUGCCUGGUAGGGUUGUUAUGAGUUAUGCACUGUUCAACUCCAGGGGGAGCCAUUCGCAUCACAGUCUGUGUGAGAGCACCCUCUCGAGUUGUGCAUUGUAGCACUGAGCAGCUGCACUGGGUACUUCUGACAUUUUGUAGCCCUCCCCUCUGCUUUGUCCUUUUAAGUGUAGAGAGAACAUAAUUUUGUACAGGGAAGGACCGGAUUUUCCUUUUCUUUUCCUACUGAGACUCAGCAUUUUGAAGAUCUGAUGCUGUGUGCUGGGGAGAGUCUAUACUGUUACCUGGCCCCUUCCUGUGUAGGAAGUUAGAGCUCACUUUCUUUCUUGCUCAGAUAACAUCAUUUUUUGUCUGUUUAUGGAUCCUCAGGAAAUUUUUUUAUCACAUUUCACAUAUCACAUUUUUAUGUAUCAAUAAACACAUACAAACACGUACACUUUAAGGACAUUAAGCAUAGGGCAGCCAAGUACUGAUGGGGCUAUGGCAACAAGCUGCCACUACCUUCUCUCUCUUACUACUGAGUAACCAUUGCUCACUUAAAGAAAAACUUAAACCAUUUAGGAAGAAGCCAGCUCAAUGUAUUUUGGACACCUGGGUGGCUCAGUUGGUUAAGUGUCUGCCUUCAGCUCACGUCGUAAUCUCCGUGUCCUGGGAU